rnacentral:rRNA from 1 species
AACGAACGCUGGCGGCAUGCCUAACACAUGCCAGUCGAACGAGACCUUCGGGCCUAGUGGCGCACGUGUGCGUAACGCGUGGGAACCUGCCCUUAGGUUCGGAAUACCUCCCCGAAAGGGGUGCUAAUACCGGAUAAUCUCUUCGGACCAAAGAUUUCUCGCCUUUGGAUGGGCCCGCGUUAGAUUCGCUAGUUGGUAGGGUAAAAGCCUACCAAGGCGACGAUCCAUAGCUGGUCUGAGAGGAUGAUCAGCCACACUGGGACUGAGACACGGCCCAGACUCCUACGGGGGGCAGCAGUGGGGAAUAUUGGACAAUGGGGGAAGGCGUGAUCCAGCAAUGCCGGGGAAGAGAUGAAGGGCGUAGGGUUGUAAAGCUCUUUUACCCGGGAUGAUAAUGACAGUACCGGGUGAAUAAGCUCCGGCUAACUACGUG